UCCCGUGCUUGCGGCCAGUAAUUUGCCGCAGAGAGCGGCAGAUAGGACCUCCCGCAGCCGAGCGAGGCUCGAGCCAGAAUCGGAGAAGAGCCCGUGUGGAAUCGCGUGUGGCCAGCCCAUGCUGCUGUCCGACACGGGCUCAAGCAUACAGACGCCCCUUUAUACAUACACACCGCCCAAGGCAAAGCAGCCAAGAAGAACCCAACCCAAAGCAAAGCAGCCGCUGCGAUUCCUUCACCCAGAAGGGAAAAGGAAAAAGAAAAAAGGCAUCCGCAGCCGCCGCGAUGAUCCUCCGCAUCCGCAGCCGCGACGGCACUGACCGCAUCACGGUGCCGGACGCGGCCGCCGCCACGGNNNNN
rnacentral:lncRNA from 1 species